GGGGGCUGUAGCCCAGUGGUAAGGCACAUCCUUUGCAUGCAAAAGGUCCCAGGUUCAAUCCCUGGAAUCUCCA